GACGGGCGGCGCUACACUGCAGUCGAGCGGAUGAAGGAGCUUGCUCCUGGAUUCACGGCGGACGGGUGAGUAAUGCCUAGGAAUCUGCCUGGUAGUGGGGGACAACGUUUCGAAAGGAACGCUAAUACCGCAUACGUCCUACGGGAGAAAGCAGGGGACCUUCGGGCCUUGCGCUAUCAGAUGAGCCUAGGUCGGAUUAGCUAGUUGGUGAGGUAAUGGCUCACCAAGGCGACGAUCCGUAACUGGUCUGAGAGGAUGAUCAGUCACACUGGAACUGAAACACGGUCCAGACUCCUACGGGAGGCACCAGUGGGGAAUAUUGGACAAUGGGCGAAAGCCUGAUCCAGCCAUGCCGCGUGUGUGAAAAAGGUCUUCGGAUUGUAAAGCACUUUAAGUUGGGAGGAAGGGUUGUAGAUUAAUACUCUGCAAUUUUGACGUUACCGACAGAAUAAGCACCGGCUAACUCUGUGCCAGCAGCCGCGGUAAUACAGAGGGUGCAAGCGUUAAUCGGAAUUACUGGGCGUAAAGCGCGCGUAGGUGGUUUGUUAAGUUGGAUGUGAAAUCCCCGGGCUCAACCUGGGAACUGCAUCCAAAACUGGCAAGCUAGAGUAUGGUAGAGGGUGGUGGAAUUUCCUGUGUAGCGGUGAAAUGCGUAUAUAUAGGAAGGAACACCAGUGGCGAAGGCGACCACCUGGACUGAUACUGACACUGAGGUGCGAAAGCGUGGGGGAGCAAACAGGAUUAGAUACCCUGGUAGUCCACGCCGUAAACGAUGUCAACUAGCCGUUGGGAGCCUUGAGCUCUUAGUGGCGCAGCUAACGCAUUAAGUUGACGCCUGGGGAGUACGGCCGCAAGGUUAAAACUCAGAUGAAUUGACUGGAGGCCCGCACGAGCGGAUGGA
rnacentral:rRNA from 1 species